rnacentral:rRNA from 1 species
GGCUUAGAGUUUGAUCAUGGCUCAGGACGAACGCUGGCGGCGCGCCUAACACAUGCAAGUCGAACGGGGUUGAGAGGAGCUUGCUUUUCUUGACUUAGUGGCGAACGGGUGAGUAACGCGUGAGGAACCUGCCUCAAAGAGGGGGACAACAGUUGGAAACGACUGCUAAUACCGCAUAAGCCCACAGUCUCGCAUGAGACAGAGGGAAAAGGAGCAAUCCGCUUUGAGAUGGCCUCGCGUCCGAUUAGCUAGUUGGUGAGGUAACGGCCCACCAAGGCGACGAUCGGUAGCCGGACUGAGAGGUUGAACGGCCACAUUGGGACUGAGACACGGCCCAGACUCCCACGGGAGGCAGCAGUGGGGAAUAUUGCACAAUGGGGGAAACCCUGAUGCAGCGACGCCGCGUGGAGGAAGAAGGUCUUCGGAUUGUAAACUCCUGUUGUUGGGGAAAAAGAGGAUGGUACCCAACAAGGAAGUGACGGCUAACUACGUGCCAGCAGCCGCGGUAAAACGUAGGUCACAAGCGUUGUCCGGAAUUACUGGGUGUAAAGGGAGCGCAGGCGGGUAUGCAAGUUGGGAGUGAAAUACAUGGGCUCAACCCAUGAACUGCUCUCAAAACUGUGUAUCUUGAAGUAGUGGAGAAGGUAGGCGG